AGGGCACAAUUCAGACAUUGAUAUGCCAUUGCUUGACUGCAACAAUUGGAAGAUCAUAAUGAUAAAUGUACUUUGAAACAAAACUGCCCAUCUUCACAAACCAGACUUCCCUAUUCUUCUAUUAAACGCCCACAACUAUGCUAUCAUUUCUGAACAUGUUAUAUCAGAAAUAAAAAUAUAGCAACACACACUAUUCAGUACCCAGGAAAGGGAUUAGUCCUAUUACUGUGAGUGGCAGAUUUCUUGGAACAACAUUAAGUAACUGUGAAACCACGGCAACAGAAUUUGGGAGCCCACAAAACAUCAGCAGAGAAAACAGGAAAGCACAAAUGAAGUGCCACAGUUACAUGUGAAUUUUUGAGACAGCGAUCACAAGUUCUGUGAAAACACCAGAAGAUGUCUGAGCUGCAAGGGAGAAGAGGCAAAAGCAAGAAUUACCCCUACAAGGGAGAUGUUUCUUACGGAGAAAUCUGCGCAAGAUCAAAACAGGUAGUCACAGCUACAUGCUCCUGCUUCAUUCACAAGUCCAAAUCGCACUGAUACACAUGAGAUGGUGGAGCUAUGCCCCUGGAUUUCCUCAAACUUGACAAGGUCCAGCUGACCCUCUGCUACACACAGUGUACCCAACUCAAGAAAACCAACAGCCUUUUGCAAAGAUGCAAGACAAUAUCGGUAUGUAGAAGACAGGUGUUAGACCUUGACUUCGCUACACAGGAUUUCCUCUCCAUCAAUCUAACCCUCAGAGCUCCUUUUUGUCUUCUAUUACAAGUCAUAUGAAACUAAGCACUGUAGAAAAAUUAAGAUCCUCCUAUUAAGCUAUAAGAUGCACCCACCUCUUCUCUAAGCAUCCCACAAGUUCCUGAAUCUCUGCCCCAUCUUGACUUUUGAAAGCAAAAAUGUGCUACCUCAGUGUUUCUGACGGGCACCAGGAGGACAGAGUCAUGGCUGGGCUGAGAAGGCAGGAGCACCCAGCAGGAGAAGUUACACAUCUCUGGAGCCAGAACUGCAGCAGAGUUCACUUAAAAUGGUAAGGAGACCGUCUUCAGGAGUUUAUGGAUUCCUCCCCCACCACCACUUUUGACUGCCUUCAUCAUUCUACUUAUAUCACAUAUUCUGUUUCUGUAGAAGGACUUUCAUCUUCUGGAAAUUACAUUUAUAUAUAUAUUUUUUAAUGCAUGUGACCUUUUGCGUUCUUAACACUAGGGAAAACCAAGCCUAGAUAAGGGAAAAGCUGACAGAUGUUGCAAUGAUUUUACAGAGACAUCUCACACAUCUUUUUUCUCUUUUAGCAAUGCUUCUUUGCAUCUACUUGCACAACAAUUUUUUUGAAAAGGAAACAGACAGUCCACUUAAAUAAUGCUGGAAGAAUAAAAAUACUUGGUACAAAGGAAUUUAUCAUUUUAUCAUCCCCUUUCCACAAUCUGUGCACAGAUAUAUUUUUUUGUCAUUCACAGUUUUACAAGGCAUUUAACUAUGUAUUAUGUUACAUAAAGAGACAUCCGUGAGAGAAAGGCAAGCAGCAGAGGAAGAGAAGUGCCGCACGCAGCGAGCGUGGCACAGAGAGCAGCGUUUCAAGAGCUGGAUCUCUGCAGCCUACCCACUCCGAAUCAGGGCAAGAACACCAAAUAGCCAUUAGAUGGCAACAACUCCAAAUUGCUUCCUGUCCCUCCUGCCUCUGACCCAGUGACCUAAAAUAAGCCACAUAAAAUACAUGCAGUUUUAUCAGAGUUCAAAGCAAGUACAGACCUUGCUUCCUGUGCUAGUGUGCUUUUUAAGCGAAUACAGGGCUGUGAGAAUCCUCCCUUUGAAAGGAAAACUGUUUCUGGGAGCCAGCGUUGGGGAGCUCUCGUCGUACUACAGCGGGAGACCGUCACCUUACAGGACACACAUCACAGGACAGAAACACCUUCUGGCAGGAAACGAACGCAUCGUUUCUUUAGAAGUGCAACGAAGAUUGAACCUGAGGAGACAUCUGCAGCUUGUUCUAAAACUAAAAGAUUUACCUCUGAAAAAGGUAUUGGAAGUUGUUUCAAUACUUCAGGAAGCUUCUUCAGCACUGAUGGACAGUAGUUACUUGAAUCCAGCAACUUCUUUUUCACACACUCUUCUAUAUUUAUCUUAUUCUGUCUAUAUUUAUUCCAUAAAUUCCAAGUAUGAAAUUUUAACUUUAGAGGCUUUUUUGGCUUAUAUUCUUUUCUAUAAAUCCAAAUAAAAGUCUAGAUUUUAAUAAAGAUCAAAACAGUUAAAUUUGAUAGUGUACUUCACAGUACUGCCUCCACUACACACAAACAAAAAAAGAAUUAAAAUGCUAUUUUACCUGCAUUUCCUUCCUAUUCUCAUAAUUGAUUAUAAAGACGACAGCUGCUACAUAUUUCCUCUACCACAUAGGCUCUUUUUUACAUUAGGCAAUUAUUUUUUCUGCUUUAACAGAAGUAGCAAGCAAAACCACUCAUAAAACUGCCUUCCUGCCAGUGAUAUCAUAGUCCAACAUAAGCUAUGCUGGGAAAGAUGUCCUUCGCUUAGGUUGAUAGAGGACAUCUAUGAGAAUGUAUAAAAUAAACAUAUUUUACAUGCACACAGUAAUACAUACAAGGAUAUACACAGAGAAGAGAAAAAUGUCACAAAUAACAUUAACAGAAAUAUAUAUCUUUUUUAAAGUUCACUAACUCCUUAAGGUCAAUACCUAUGUCAAAACUCAACUUUAAGUCGAUGAGGCAGAGACAGUGAACUACCACACAAGAAGCAGCAAAUUCUGAUAUUAGCAAUAAAAACUGUUCAUUUGAAAUGGUGAUGAUAGACCGAUUAAAGAGUAACAAUUAUUACCUAGCCAACAGAAGGAGUUUAUAUUCUGCUAAGUAAUAUGUUAAGUACGAACAAAUUUCCAUAAGAUUAAAGUUUUCAAGUGUCUGUUCAAGCAUAAAAUAACUUGGACAAAAUAUUAAUCCCAUAGGUGUGAACUGCUUACUGAACUCUUCUCACAGGGAAUCAUCUCUCUGCAGGUGGGUAAUAUACAUAUUUCUAUAUAAUAAUUUUACUUAUUUUUAGCACAUGCAUUGCUUAAGUGGGUGAUUGGAAUUCCGGCAAACAAUAGUUCAAGAAGUAGGAAAGCAUGCAGUUCACAGUGUGCAUUAUGAGCAGUUGCUGCUUUCCUCUCUGCUUCACCAGGAAGACAAAAUAUUCCCAAGGCUUGGUACACUGCAGUAUAAGAAUUAUGUUACGGUGAUA